UCAGGAGGAGGUGCGGGCGGCGGGCGUGUGGUGUCGCGCCCCGAGCAGCCGUUAUCCCGCGCCUCAGGCGGCGGUCGGGCCGUUCCGUUCCUCGCGGGGGCGGUGUCAUUCCCAGCCCUCGGCAGGGCGCGGAAGGCGGGCGGUGGUGCUGCGCGGGUCGGCCUCGGCCCCUCUGUUCCUCCUGGCGCUGUGCGUCCCUUGGGGCGCGGCCGUGCGCGGGGCUGAGGCGUCCGUUGGCCAUCGUCCGCUCCGGGCGACUCGUGUCCGGGCUGGGCUGCGGGGCUGAGGUGGAGUUAGCGGGCUGUGUGGAGCUGUGCGGCCUUCUGAGGGCCGUUUAACCUACAGCAAGCUGUGCCUGUAGGAGCUGCUCUCAAAGAUGAGAUGGAACCCGAGGAUCUGCGAGAGGGCUCUGAGAAAGCAGGAGCAGAAGAAGAAGGAAGGAGCGGGCACGGUGCUGUGGGGGGCUGGGGCUCUGAGAGUGUUAGAAUGGUCGCGGGAUGGGAUGGUGAAUCACAUCCUUCUUAGGAAAUAAAAUGAAACUUGAGUGCGUGCAUCUUGUGUGCAGCUGCUGUGUGUCAGGGCAGACUGAGUCCUGCCUCUGUGGCAAUGUUCAUUUCCUAUUUCCCUCAACUGUGCACAUCUGUGAGUUUUCUGGAAGCGCUGAGCUCUGGGUUUUCCACAGAAAUGUGGAGGAUCCUGGCUGUGUUUCUUGUUCACACUCAUCUGGUGGUGCAGAGGACUGGACAGUAGGUUUGAACGGCUCCCCUCCAGCAAGACUUCAGAUUUGCUGGACUCUGCAGGGACAUUGAAUUACUCCAACCAUAUGGGUGUUGCAGUGUUAAAGGAGAAGAUAUGCCAGCUGAGACAACGCAUACAGAAAAUCCACCUGAAGAAAUCAAAGCUAUCUAGCAGCCCAUGUUCCAGAAUUUCCUGCCCUUUGGAAAGAAAGCUUCAGCCAGAAGAAAUCUGGCAUCUGAAAGAUAUUUUCACAGUGUUUGUUUGGUGAUGAAAAUGGCCCCACCAGUCAGACUGAAGAUGCGAAGUCCUCUAUUCUACAUUUAUUGUUUCACGUGUGUAAUUUUUUCUGUAAUCUAAAAACACAGCUGUUCAGGUGAAGUUAAUUUAGAUCUUGAAACCUCUGCACUGAGACACUGUUAGGGAUUCAGGGUGAUGUGAUAAGAAAUGCUGAUUUCAGGCACUUGGCUGAGACCCUCUUCAUUCCUUUCCCACUAACACCAGUUGUCCUCUCAGGAUUGCUGCUGUUUACCUGGUACCCCAGGACAGGGUGUGUGAGAAGGCUCCAUCUGUCCUGCCCAAGCCGUAGGUUUUGAGUGAAUAGACCAAGGAAAGCAGUCAGUUGGCUCUGCUUUGAAAUGUCUGCUUUUUCUCUGUACAGGUGAGAAGAAUAGGAAGGGACGACAUCCAGGGCUGUUGUGUGGGAAGAGGUACACUCUAGAGGGUGGAUUUUGCCCCUUUUGCUCCAAGGCUCCAGAACCUCCCAAGUUCACAAUGCCAGAAUCUUUGGUCCUUUCUAAGCAAUCAUGAAUCAGCAGGUUUGUUGGUAGGAGCAGUCUGACUGCAAGGCAGCAUCCUUCGGGCCUCCUGUAGUCUGUGCUGCCUUCACUGGAGCACUGUUUGUGAAGUGCCUCAGGCUGCAGGGCUCUGUUACAGAGUUUGCUCUGAGGGUUUGUGCAGAACUGAAGACAAGGAUUGCUAAAUAGGAAGCAGCUUUUAUUUGCUUUGGGUAACUCCUACCCCACUUCCAGAGGAGGGGCAGAAGGAUCUGUUCUAAGGUACUCACAGCUCCUGUAGCCAAACCUCAGGAACUUGUCCUAGUAGGAAAAGCUGUAAGAAAAAAGGGAGGAGUACAUUGUUUUCAGGCUAUUGAUUUCAGCUAAUUUUCUGGGGGGAGAAAAAAGUAUUGUUGGCUAAUGUGUGCUUUUGCUAACCACAGAUGGACAGAGCUGCCACUUCAAGCCCAGGUCUGAAAUGUUGGUGUAGUGGCCUAACAGUGAAGACCAGAAAAGGUAGAAGGUUCAGUUGUGGUGGAUGGUCCAGGCUGGUUUUGAGCAGACAAGGCAUUAUUUCCUCCCUGGCAAAGGGGGAAGAAAUCACUGCCCCAGCUCUGUGACAUGCCUUUCCUGUUAGUUUCAGCCAGUGGAUGAUUUGUGUUCUUUGUACUGAACUGUGGAGGUUUCUGUAACUCCCUUCAGAGUGGUAACUACAUCAGUAAGCCUGAAGCAGGCUUCUCAAGAUUGGUCUUUGCUAGCUACCUGCAGUGACAGCUCUUGGUAGCUGUUAUCUCUCUGCAUCGCACCUUGCCACACAAACAGUCCCAAAGAAGUGACAGGGGAAGGUGUUGGUCAAUGUUAAAGCAGGUAUGGCUUUUGGCUUAGAACUUCAGGCUUUCUGUGGCAUUUCUCAGAUGGGCAAACUUAGUUCCCAAUGGUGUGUAGGUCAGUUUUAAUAGUGCUGGAUCAGCUUGGCACCAAAAACAGGACAAUUUCAUCUCAACCUCAUAUACUUAUUUUAAGCGUAUGCUUGUUAACAUAUAAUAAACCAUGCACAGGAAAUUUACUGCAAAUGCUCAUUAUCUGCUUUAAGUCUCUGUCCCCAGCGACUUAAAAGCACGUAGUGUAAGCAGUGGAGGGUCAGGGUAACACAACCCAUUUCUCAGUGAUGCUGAAGAGACACCCUGCUUCUCCUCUCCCAGAUACUCAAUGCUGAACUGGAAAAGAGGCACAGAUAGAAGGCUGAGUUACCUGUCACAUCUGGUGAUUUUGAGUCCUCACUAGAAAUGAGGCCUCUUGUUUUGGACUCCCUGGCAAUGCUGCCAUCUCAGAAUGUUGGCACUAAUGACAUCUAACCUGCAGCCCCUGUUUUUAACACGCCCGUGCUGUGCAAGCUUCCAGAUGGUACAGAAGAUGAUGUGGAGAGUGAAAACCCCGGCCCUGGUUCCUCUGCCAAGGAGGCUUAAAUGUCUUCUUACAUGGAAAACCUAAGUGAAUAAACAUGGUGCAGGCGCCCAGA